UGUGAAUUUUUGUUGAAUGUUGUGUUAUGUUCUUAGAGAAUCUUGAUUCAUCUUGUUUUAAUAAAAAUUGGUUUUUAUCUGAAAUUAUCAACUUUUAAGUUCAACUUUAAUGAACUUUAAGUUUAACUUUUAUUAACUUUAAGUUUUCUGCUGGUUUCAGGUCUUCUGUAUACUCCAAAAGCAAAGUCAUAAAAGCAGUGACCCCUCUUGAUGUAGAAGAUGGUUCAUCGAUGAAAAUCUACCGUAUGCGGUCGUCACCAGAGGCUACGCGCUCAUAAUAAACAUCCACGAAUUCUUCGAGCCAAUUAAGUCAUCUGAUGACGACACCAGGCAUGGCUCAUACAGGGAUGUGGCAAACAUCUACACUCUCUUCUCCCAGCUAGGUUACAAAGUUAGGAUGCACUACAACCUCACAAAAAAGGAAAUACACGACAAAGUGAGCAGUUUUGCCGAGAUGCCGGAGCACGCCUCUGUCGAUUCAACAGUGGUUGUGGUGAUGAGCCAUGGAGGGAGAUAUAAUGACACAUUUCGGGCCUAUGACAAUCUACUAGU